rfam:Limnothrix sp. P13C2 contig_5, whole genome shotgun sequence.
GUUUUGCUGCAAUGUUGGUGACUGCCAAUAAUUGUUUUGCGAUCUAUGUUUGUUCCAAUUCGGGGACUCACCGAACGUCUUAGUGGCAGUAGACUGAGCGAGCGUUUAGGCGCUUUGUUAACUCAGAAACUUUAAACGGAGACAAGAGUACCCACCUGGUUUUUCCAGGUCGGAAGCUGAGGCAAGACGGCAUUUGCGGUUAACCC